rnacentral:rRNA from 1 species
CAGCCGCCACGGGAAUACGGAGGGGGCUAGCGUUGUUCGGAAUUACUGGGCGUAAAGCGCACGUAGGCGGCUUGGUAAGUUAGAGGUGAAAGCCCGGAGCUCAACUCCGGAAUUGCCUUUAAGACUGCCGAGCUAGCAGGUGAGAGAGGUAAGUGGAAUUCCGAGUGUAGGGGUGAAAUUCGUAGAUAUUCGGAAGAACACCAGUGGCGAAGGCGGCUUACUGGCUCAUACUGGACGCUGAGGUGCGAAAGCGUGGGGAGCAAACAGGAUUAGAUACCCCGGUAGUCCCUGUCUCUUAUAC